GACGAACGCUUGCGGCGUGCCUAAGAAAUGCAAGUCGAGCGGGAAUGCUUUGCAUUGGGUUGAUAGUGUAUGGUUGAUUGUUGAUGGUAACGGCAAAGACCGGUUUUCACCAUCAACCAUCAACAAUCAACUAUCACCAAUCAACCGAAUGCAGAGCAUUCUAGCGGCGAACGGUCGCGUAACACGUAAGCAACCUGCCCCGAAGACCGGGACAACUCCGCGAAAGCGGGGCUAAUACCGGAUGUGGCCACCGAUAUGCAUGUAUUGGUGAUUAAACCAGGAAACUGGCUUUGGGAGGGGCUUGCGGCCUAUCAGCUAGUUGGUGGGGUAACGGCCUACCAAGGCGACGACGGGUAGCUGGUCUGAGAGGAUGUCCAGCCGGACUGGGACUGAGAUACGGCCCAGACUCCUACGGGGGGCAGCAAUUAGGAAUCUUGCGCAAUGGGCGAAAGCCUGACGCAGCGACGCCGCGGUGGGGGAGGAAGG
rnacentral:rRNA from 1 species